rnacentral:lncRNA from 1 species
GUUUUGCUAGAAAGAGAUGAACUUUGUUGUUAGGUUUUCUUGAAUAGACAUGAAUAAAUAGACAUGAAUAAAGGUUUUUUUGAACGGUUUCAGACAUGUAAGUCAUUUUCCUUACAAAUUAGAAAGUAACUCCUUAGGCCUCCAACUUGUGCUGGGUGAGCUCCAACAGAACUCCUUGAUUUCAGAGAAAUGGCCGGAGAAGGGAAGGUAGUCUGUGUUACAGGAGCUUCGGGAUUCAUAGCUUCAUGGCUCGUUAAGCUCUUGCUUCAGCGUCGCUAUACCGUUCAUGCUACCGUCCGCUCCCUCGGUCAGCCUCUCCGGCCUUCUUUCCAAUUUUGACUUUUCAUCUCUGAGUUCGAUUCAAUAUCAGUAAUAGGUUGAUUAUGUAAGUAAUUAAUCACAGAUUGUUCAUCAAUAACAAAAUAUGCUGCAAAAGAAAAACUGACCUGGUUGACUUUUUUUCAUCCUCAGAGAUUUGUUUUUGUUUUCCUCUAAUCGCUACCAGUUCCUUUAAUUCAUAUAUGGUGCAGAUGAUCCAAAGAAGACACAACACCUACUUUCCCUUGAUGGAGCUAAGGAAAGGCUAUCUUUGUUUGAAGCUAACUUGACUGAAGAAGGAUCUUUCGAGUCCGCAGUUAAUGGCUGCGAAUGUGUCUUUCAUAUGGCAUCUCCUGUUAUACCUUCAGUUUCAGUUUCUGAUCCAAAAGCAAAACUCAUAGAUCCUGCAGUGAAGGGAACACUUAAUGUUCUCAAAUCAGCUGCAAAAGUUUCAUCUCUCAAAAGAGUGGUUUUGACAUCUUCCAUGAGUGCGGUUAUGUUUCGUGUAGAACCUCGGGAGUUUGGUGCUGUGGUGGAUGAAACAUGGUUUUCAGAUCCAAAAACUUGUGAACAGAAAAAGGUAUGUAUAUAGAUAAUUGUGUUAAAACUUUGAUUUUGUUAUUAAUUAAUCAAAAAGCUUGUAAUUUACAGUUAUGGUAUCCGCUUUCGAAGACCCUGGGUGAGGAUGCUGGUGUGACAUUUUGUAAAGAGAAAGGUUUGGAUUUGGUGGUUGUAAAUCCUGGGUUUGUCAUUGGUCCUAUAUUACAGCCAACUCUCAACACCACUUCUGAGUGGGUUAUGGGAUUGAUUGCAACUGGUAAUUGUCUCCUACAACUAAAAAUCGAUUCAUCGGAUCUGUAUAAUUAAUUUAUUGAACAUAUUGCAUGCUCAAAUCUUUAUAAUAUGUAGGAAAGGAAAUAUUUCCAGAUGGAAUUUAUAGACUUGUUGAUGUGAGAGAUGUUGUUAAUGCUCAUAUUUUAGCAUUUGAGAACCCUGAAGCGAAUGGUAGAUACUGUGUAGUUGGGGUUGUGACUCGCUCUUCUGAGAUCAUGAAGAUUUUAAAUAAACAUUACCCUGUUCUUGGUCAUUCUGAAAGGUAAGUAUCUAGUUAAUCGCAUGAAUAUACAUAUAAACAAUCUAUUUAGGGCCAAUUAUUGUGUUUUUUUAUUUAAAUUUUCAUAGGUAUAAAGAAGGAAAUGGUGGUGAGCCUGUACCUUAUACUGUAUCAAGGGCAAAAGCGGAAAUUUUAGGCGUUGAAUUUACUCCGUUGGAGGUAAGCAUUAAGGACACUGUUGAAAGCCUGAAAGAGAAGAACUUUCUGAGCUUCUAAAACAUACGAUGAUGUUCAUGAAGACAAUGGCUUGGAUUUUUUAUAAACGAAAGCCGUAGGGUGUGCACCCUAAUUUUGUAAAGAAUAUGUGACAAAAUUGACACGUCACGUUAAUUAUUGAGUAAAAUUGUACUAUUAUGAUUGAAUAGUUAUUUGGUAUAUUAGGUGUGAG